UGCCGCCUGUAGUGUUCGAGUCGACCUAUCGCUUUUGAACCUAAAGGAUAAUUCGGGGACAAAAUGAGUCGACUGUUGUGAGCGUUGCCUUGUCGCAAAGCACCUGAUGUCGGCACACCAGUCACCCACUUGAACAAGUUGGUUCAAGGUUUUCCGGUGACGACGCGGCACGUGCGGGCGGCUU
rnacentral:other from 1 species